UGUAACAUGUAAGACUAAAUCUAAAAAAGCAGAAUGUCAUCUCGGAAGCUAAGCAGGGUUGGGCCUGGUUAGUACUUGGAUGGGAGACCACCUAGGAAGACCAGGUGCUGUAGGCC
rnacentral:rRNA from 1 species